rnacentral:piRNA from 1 species
UGAUUGGUGUUGAUGUGUACCCUGUA